rnacentral:rRNA from 1 species
AGCUCCAAUAGCGUAUAUUUAAGUUGCUGCGGUUAAAAAGCUCGUAGUCGGAUUUCGGGUGGUACCUACCGGUCCGCCAUUGGUGAGUACUGGUAGGCACUACCUUUCUGCCGAGGACAGGCUCGUGGGCUUCACCGCCUGGGGUCUGGAGUCGGCGACGUCACUUUGAGUAAAUUAGGGUGUUUAAAGCAGGCGUUUGCUCUGAAUACACUAGCAUGGGAUGACACGAUAGGACUUUGGUCUAUCUUGUCGGUCUGUAGGCUGGAGUAAUGAUUAAGAGGGACAGUCGGGGGCAUUCGUAUUUCGUAGUCAGAGGUGAAAUUCUUGGAUUUACGGAAGACGAACUUCUGCGAAAGCAUUUGCCAAGGAUGUUUUCA